GCCUCCUAAGUGGCUGGGAUUACAAGUAUGCAUCAUCAUGCCCUGCCUGAACAUGACUUUUUUAGGUGUUGUUGAAGCAGAAAUCUUCUACAACAACAUGGGAAUGGCAGAGUUGAGUUCUUUAGUUAUGCAAAGGUCCUCUGAAAAAAGCUGGAGAACUGUGGCUCUAAACCAGAGUUUCCAAGGCUGUGAUGCUGUCUUUGAUGCUUGUAUUCCAGAAUACUUUCAAGACUUUUAAGGUCUACCUCACUUCCUCAUCGCAGUAGCUGUCAUGAUGCCUGACGCAAAGUAGGUACAAGAUAAAGAUUUGGUAUUGGAGAAAGAAGAUUCCACAUGCAAAAAGAUUCCAUAGUCUAGUAGAUUUGGAACUAGAUAAAGUCUUCCUUUUUGAGACCACUGGAUAAAUACAGACAAAAGCACAAUGAUUGUUUUGGCUACUUGGUUAGUCUCACUGAAGAACUUCUCAGAACCUUUAAUAGGCAGUGUGCAUUUUUUUUGGUCCAAACCAGGCCUACCAUGUGAUGAUCCCCAAGUCAACUGACUGUGUGACUCCUGCUCCCUACGAUGCUUUUUGGUGUUCUAAGGGACCAGGUGGUAGGAAAACCAGGAGAAACUGCCUGCCUGACUGUUGUCCUGUAAGGGACCCAUCUCCAAGCCAGCUGCUGGGAAGGCACCACAUUACUCAGCCCAUAGAUGUUUCCAUUGCUCUUAA
rnacentral:lncRNA from 1 species